rnacentral:rRNA from 1 species
CCUACGGGUGGCUGCAGUGAGGAAUAUUGGUCAAUGGGAGGAAUCCUGAACCAGCCAUGCCGCGUGCAGGACGACUGCUCUACGAGUUGUAAACUGCUUUUAUACCGGAGUAACAUGCCUUACGUGUAGGGUUUUGAAAGUACCGUACGAAUAAGGAUCGGCUAAUUCCGUGCCAGCAGCCGCGGUAAUACGGAGGAUCCGAGCGUUAUCCGGAUUCAUUGGGUUUAAAGGGUGCGUAGGUUGUUUGAUAAGUUAGCUGUGAAAUGCCGAGGCUCAACCUGGGGGCUGCAGCUGAUACUGUCGGACUAGAGAUCGCAUGCAGCAGGCGGAAUGUGUAGUGUAGCGGUGAAAUGCAUAGAUAUUACAAAGAACACCGAUUGCGAAGGCAGCUUGCUACGGCGGAUCUGACACUGAUGCACGAAAGCGUGGGGAUCGAACAGGAUUAGAUACCCGAGUAGUC